UAUAAGGUUAAGCUAGAAAGGGCGCACGGUGGAUGCCUUGGCACUAGGAGCCGAAGAAGGACGGGACGAACACCGAUAUGCCUCGGGGAGCUGUAAGUAAGCACUGAUCCGGGGAUUUCCGAAUGGGGGAACCCACCAUCCGUAAUGGGAUGGUAUCCAUAUCUGAAUACAUAGGGUAUGAGAAGGCAGACCCGGGGAACUGAAACAUCUAAGUACCCGGAGGAAGAGAAAGCAAAUGCGAUUUCCUGAGUAGCGGCGAGCGAAACGGAAACAGCCCAAACCAGAGGGCUUGCCCUCUGGGGUUGUAGGACACUCUACAUGGAGUUACAAAGGAACGAAGUAGGUGAAGCGGUCUGGAAAGGCCAGCCAAAGAAGGUAACAGCCCUGUAGCUGAAACUUCGUUCCCUCCUGAGUGGAUCCUGAGUACGGCGGGACACGUGAAACCCCGUCGGAAUCCGGGAGGACCAUCUCCCAAGGCUAAAUACUCCCUAGUGACCGAUAGUGAACCAGUACCGUGAGGGAAAGGUGAAAAGCACCCCGGAAGGGGAGUGAAAGAGAUCCUGAAACCGUGUGCCUACAAGUAGUCGGAGCCCAUUAACGGGUGACGGCGUGCCUUUUGUAGAAUGAACCGGCGAGUUACGAUCCCGUGCAAGGUUAAGUUGAAUAGACGGAGCCGCAGCGAAAGCGAGUCUGAAUAGGGCGACAUAGUACGUGGUCGUAGACCCGAAACCGUGUGAUCUACCCAUGUCCAGGGUGAAGUUCAGGUAACACUGAAUGGAGGCCCGAACCCACGCACGUUGAAAAGUGCGGGGAUGAGGUGUGGGUAGGGGUGAAAUGCCAAUCGAACACGGAGAUAGCUGGUUCUCCCCGAAAUAGCUUUAGGGCUAGCCUCGCGGCAAGAUUCCUGGAGGUAGAGCACUGAUUGGACUAGGGGCCCCCACAGGGUUACCGAAUUCAGUCAAACUCCGAAUGCCAGAGAAUUAUCCGCGGGAGUCAGACUGCGAGUGAUAAGAUCCGUAGUCAAAAGGGAAACAGCCCAGACCAUCAGCUAAGGUCCCAAAGUAUACGUUAAGUGGCAAAGGAUGUGGAGUUGCCCAGACAACCAGGAUGUUGGCUUAGAAGCAGCCACCAUUUAAAGAGUGCGUAAUAGCUCACUGGUCGAGUGACUCUGCGCCGAAAAUGUAACGGGGCUAAACGUAUCACCGAAGCUAUGGCUUGUACCGUA
rnacentral:rRNA from 1 species